UAAAGGUGUUAAAAUAUCUACAAACAGUUCUUUUUCUAUAUUAAAAAGGCGAUUCAAAUAUCGCGAACUUGCCAGGCCCCUCGAAAUAGGAGAGGGUCCCCGCAAGCAUCAUCGGAGGUCUGCAAAACUUACUUGAAAUGAAUUUUUACCCCGAAAACUGCGAAGUUCUUUGCGGAUGGAAUUAUGAAACUAUUUAGGAGGUAGCAACAAAUAGUUGACAACACUAAUGCACACUUUGAAAAAUAAGAACGUAUAGAUUUCACGUCGGACCAGGCUAAUCCAUUAUACUGUAAGCGAUCUCACGAAUGAAAAAUCGUAAAUACAUACAAGCGAGUGGGCAAGCGUCUGUUGGAAAGAUAGAGGAGCCGUCGUCGAAGGAUGAACGAUAGCCG